rnacentral:rRNA from 1 species
GCUUACGGCCAUACCACCCUGAGAACGCCCGAUCUCGUCUGAUCUCGGAAGCUAAGCAGGGUCGGCCCUGGUUAGUACUUGGAUGGGAGACCGCCUGUAAGCUUUUCCAUCUUUC